AUUGAACGCUGGCGGCAGGCCUAACUCAUGCAAGUCGAACGGUAACAGGAAGCUGCUUGCUGCUUUGCUGACGAGUGGCGGACGGGUGAGCAAUGUCUGGGAAACUGCCCGAUGGAGGGGGUUAACUACUGGAAACGGUAGCUAAUACCGCAUAACGUCGCAAGAUCAAAGAGGUGGACCUUAGGGCCUCUCGCCAUCGGCUGUGCCCAGUUGGGAUUGGCAUGAGGUGGGGUAAUGGCUCACCUAGGCGACGAUCCGUAUCUGGUCUGAGAGGAUGACCAGCCACACUGGAACUGAGACACGGUCCAGACUCCUACGGGAGGCAGCAGUGGGGAAUAUUGCACAAUGGGCGCAAGCCUGAUGCAGCCAUGCCGCGUGUAUGAAGAAGGCCUUCGGGUUGUAAAGUACUUUAAGCGGGGAGGAAGGGAGUAAAGUUAAUACCUUGGCUCAUUGACGUUACCCGCAGAAGAAGCACCGGCUAACUCCGUG
rnacentral:rRNA from 1 species